rnacentral:rRNA from 1 species
ACGCUGGCGGCGCACAUAAGACAUGCAAGUCGAACGAACUUAAUUGAGAGCUUGCUCUCAAAGCGGUUAGUGGCGGACUGGUGAGUAACACGUAAGCAACCUGCCUAUUAGAGGGGAAUAACAGCGAGAAAUCGUUGCUAAUACCGCAUAUGCUGUGAGUAUCGCAUGAUACAAGCAGGAAAGGAGCAAUCCGCUAAUAGAUGGGCUUGCGUCUGAUUAGUUAGUUGGUGGGGUAACGGCCUACCAAGACGAUGAUCAGUAGCCGGACUGAGAGGUUGAACGGCCACAUUGGGACUGAGAUACGGCCCAGACUCCUACGGGAGGCAGCAGUCGGGAAUAUUGCGCAGUGGAGGAAACUCUGACGCAGUGACGCCGCGUGCAGGAAGAAGGUUUUCGGAUUGUAAACUGCUUUUAACAGGAAAGAAAAAAUGACGGUACCUGUUGAAUAAGCUCCGGCUAACUACGUGCCAGCAGCCGCGGUAAUACGUAGGGAGCGAGCGUUAUCCGGAUUUAUUGGGUGUAAAGGGUGCGUAGACGGAAAUGCAAGUUAGUUGUGAAAUACCUCGGCUUAACUGAGGAACUGCAACUAAAACUAUAUUUCUUGAGUAUCGGAGGGGUUUGUGGAAUUCCUAGUGUAGCGGUGAAAUGCGUAGAUAUUAGGAAGAACACCGGUGGCGAAGGCGACAAACUGGACGAUAACUGACGUUGAGGCACGAAAGUGUGGGGAGCAAACAGGAUUAGAUACCCUGGUAGUCCACACCGUAAACGAUGGAUACUAGGUGUUGGCAAUGAAUAAUUGUCGGUGCCGGCGCUAACGCAAUAAGUAUCCCACCUGGGGAGUACGACCGCAAGGUUGAAACUCAAAGGAAUUGACGGGGGCCCGCACAAGCAGUGGAGUAUGUGGUUUAAUUCGAAGAUA